CUGAGCCUGAACAGAGGGAGAGGGGAGUAAAUAAGGGGCUGUUGCCAGAGCCUGAGCCCACCAGAGAAAGUCUGUGUGCAGAGGGAGGGCCUCAGGUCCUGCUGCUCCUUCAUCUUGACCCCUUCACACCCUCCUCUAACAGGGACCUCGACCUCCCUUCUCCACUCUCCUGGAUCCUGCUCAGUGUGGUGCAGGCCUUCUCUGGGGCCCUGGAGUUCCCACUGACCUUCAGCCCCGCCAGUUGCAUCUGCUGUUCCCACUGAAGGUCUCCCCACCAUCCACAUAUUCUCUCCCAGGCCUCAAAGGGCCCUCCCCAGUCUCCAGCUGUCAGCUUUCCCACCUCCACCUUCUCUCCUCCUUUCGGUUCUGCUUCUGAAUUUCUUCAAAAAUUCUCCUGCAUCAAGACUCUCAUGCUAGUCAGUUCCUGCCUGGGGUCACCAGACUGCUUCGAAGUCAGGAAGAACAUGGUGGGGACGGUGACUUGAGUUUCCUGGACCACAGUGCAGGUGAGAAAUGCACC
rnacentral:lncRNA from 1 species